rnacentral:lncRNA from 1 species
ACACCGUGAAACCCCGUCUCUACUAAAAAUACAAAAAAAUUAGCUGGGCGUGGUGGCGGGUGCCUGUAGUCUCAGCUGUUGGGGAGGCUGAGGCAGGAGAAUGGCGUGAACCUGGGAGUCGGAGCUGGCAGUUAGCUGAGAUCGCACCACUGCACUCCAGCCUGGGUGACAGAGCAAGUCUCCGUCAAAAAAGCAUUGCCUCACGCCAAAUGAAGGUAAAAAUCCUGAGACUUCUUAGUAAUUGAUUUCUCAUUGGCCUUAAUAACCCAGAGUAAAAAGUGAAUACUAAGGAGUUUUUAUAUCCACAACCAUGAGUCUCACACUCUGGGAUACUUUCUAUUUUGUAUU